rnacentral:rRNA from 1 species
AGAGUUUGAUCAUGGCUCAGGAUGAACGCUAGCUACAGGCUUAACACAUGCAAGUCGAGGGGAAACGACAUCGAAAGCUUGCUUUUGAUGGGCGUCGACCGGCGCACGGGUGAGUAACGCGUAUCCAGCCUGCCCAUCACUUGGGGAUAACCUUGCGAAAGUAAGACUAAUACCCAAUGAUAUCUCUAGAAGGCAUCUGAAAGAGAUUAAAGAUUUAUCGGUGAUGGAUGGGGAUGCGUCUGAUUAGCUUGUUGGCGGGGUAACGGCCACCAAAGCAACGAUCAGUAGGGGUUCUGAGAGGAAGGUCCCCCANAUUGGAACUGAGACACGGUACCAAACUCCUACGGGAGCA